GUCAAAUGUCAAAUCGGAUUUUUCUACUUUUCUAGUUUUCAAUUUUCAACUACUUUUCAACAUGGUUUUAAACUGUUUUAAACUAUUCGAACGUUUUCAAUUUCAAUCGAAUAAUUUUCAUUCAAUCUAGUUAGUAUAGUUUGGAAAUCCUCUAGAAAUAUUCAAACAUUACAAGUGUUGUGUGUCUUUCUAUGGCGUUUGUGUUUUUCUUCUGAGUUUUUUUAGUUUCUAUUUGGAGUCUACUCUCUUAUUGAAAUUGUGAUGUGCUGAAUAUAUUGGGAGGAAAACGAUAAUAAAGUAUCUUAUGGAGGAUCUAUGAAUUUUACUGGAGUACAAAAGCUUAUAUUUUCCAGAGAACAUGUUUUGGUAAUAUUUUUAUGGCUAAAAUUUACACCCAGUCAUUGCCAUUAAUAAAUCAACAACAUUUAAUUGAAGAAACAACUUUAUAACGUUUGUUUAAAGUCCGUUUUAACAGUGCUAAACACAGCCCUGUCCACUAGUUGAAUGAAGUGUGUGGCAAUGGGGUACAACUCAACCAAAAUACUGCCAUUGCUCUCCGAAUCUACUGAGGUGUAGAGUCAAGUGUAACACAUUCUCAUCUAUAAAAAGAAUGAUAUAGGCAAGGAUAAAAGCUACAAGAAGACAGUAUUAAUUCUCUAUUUCAAAGAGGUUUAUGAAAGAAUUAUAUCAGGGCAACACAUCACAAAAUAUGUUAGUAAUAAAAAAAAAAUCCCUUAUCAUCCAGCAAUUUUGUGAUUUUCCGAGGCCCCAUGACUCUGGAACGCUUAAGGUAAAGCAAUAUCUUUUCGAAUUCUUUCAUAUUUAAAUAUGAUCAUUGGCGGAGACAAAUUUCCCGCAGCGUUUUCACUUAACAAAACACACUGAACAAAACAGUUAUUUUAUAUGUGGGCGCGUAUAACAGUACAGGGCCGGGCGACACGGCAGCAACUAAAAUAUUUAAGAACAGUAAUCUAAACAAAUAGUAACGAAUAUCCAGUUCAAUAAUUAAUCGCUACUGUCAAUUUCCACAUUAACAAAUUAGCUAUUACUACACCACAUAGGGAAGAAUAUCUGACUAAACAUUAUAAACACUAUACUAUGUCCUAGAUGUAUCCUAUUAUAGUUUACUGAAAUUAUGCUCAAAAAAAUCCUUAGCACGGAAGCUUUGGGAUAGUUUUGAUUUCUUCUAUUCUAUAUGUUUUUUGAGUGCUCUAUCUGAAACUGGGAUUUGCGAAUUCAUUUUCGUGGAAGAAUAUUAAACAAAAUUAAAUAAAAAAUAUAUAAAUCGGAUUUGUUCGUGGCACUUUUAUAACUCAAAAGCUAACAACUUUUUGUACAUAAUCCUUCUUUCUAUAAUUCUCGUUUUUAUAAAUUUCUAAACAAACUGUUUUGGGUCAAGAGCCAGCAAAAUUAACAGUUUUAGACUCUACCGCUCAAAAUUGCACUUUUUCUACUAUCCACAUCCUUUAUUUGUUAUUAACGGCUGAUAUGCCCCAAAGUUAUAUGCGGCAAAUAUUCAUUCGCAAGAAGCUGAAAAGGAUCCCAAUAUCCUUAUUAUAAAAAAAAACUUAUAAGUUUGUCUCAUUAAUUAAAUUAAUUUAUUAAUUAUAGUGGUAAAGAUAUCAAUCUUUUGAUGGUUUUGAUUGUUCCGGAUUGAAUAUGUAGUAAUACACUGAAAAUUGUAGCAAAAUCGUAAAAUUUUCUCAUUAGAGGAAUCACACAAAGAAAAAUUUCUCACAAAGAAAUGCAUCUCAAACAUUGACUGAUCCUCAUUUUGCCGCCGACAAAACUGUCUGAUCAUAAUACUGAUUCUGCACUAAAUAUGUAAUUGUUUGUGAAAAAGAAAGGAAAAUUUUCUUAAAUUCUUAAUAAUAAAAUAUAAUAAAAAAUAAUGCAAUUGCUUGCAAUUAAAUACUGUUAUGUUUUCAAAGAUCACUUAUACCAGAACAAGACUGCCGAAGUUGGGAUUCUAUUUCUUAUGCUCUAUAUACCGAGUGCGUCUCAGCUGUUUCUCCCCCUAUAAUUUGUUUAUUUUUAACACAACCCUGGCACUAUAG
rnacentral:lncRNA from 1 species